GACGAACGCUGGCGGCGUGCUUAACACAUGCAAGUCGAACGGAAAGGCCCUGCUUUUGUGGGGUGCUCGAGUGGCGAACGGGUGAGUAACACGUGAGUAACCUGCCCUUGACUUUGGGAUAACUUCAGGAAACUGGGGCUAAUACCGGAUAGGAGCUCCUGCUGCAUGGUGGGGGUUGGAAAGUUUCGGCGGUUGGGGAUGGACUCGCGGCUUAUCAGCUUGUUGGUGGGGUAGUGGCUUACCAAGGCUUUGACGGGUAGCCGGCCUGAGAGGGUUACCGGCCCCCUUGGGACUGAGGGACGGCCCAGACUCCUACGGGAGGCAGCAGUGGGGAAUAUUGCACAAUGGGCGGAAGCCUGAUGCAGCAACGCCGCGUGCGGGAUGACGGCCUUCGGGUUGUAAACCGCUUUCGCCUGUGACGAAGCGUGAGUGACGGUAAUGGGUAAAGAAGCACCGGCUAACUACGUG
rnacentral:rRNA from 1 species